UGGGGAAUAUUGCACAAUGGGCGAAGGCCUGAUGCAGCAACGCCGCGUGAGUGAUGAAGGUCUUCGGGUUGUAAAGCUCUGUCUUUUGGGACGAUAAUGACGGUACCAAAGGAGGAAGCCACGGCUAACUACGUGCCAGCAGCCGCGGUAAUACGUAGGUGGCGAGCGUUGUCCGGAUUUACUGGGCGUAAAGGGUGCGUAGGCGGAUGUUUAAGUGAGAUGUGAAAUACCCGGGCUUAACUUGGGUGCUGCAUUUCAAACUGGAUAUCUAGAGUGCAGGAGAGGAGAAUGGAAUUCCUAGUGUAGCGGUGAAAUGCGUAGAGAUUAGGAAGAACACCAGUGGCGAAGGCGAUUCUCUGGACUGUAACUGACGCUGAGGCACGAAAGCGUGGGUAGCAAACAGGAUUAGAUACCCUGGUAGUCCACGCCGUAAACGAUGAGUACUAGGUGUAGGAGGUAUCGACCCCUUCUGUGCCGCAGUAAACACAUUAAGUACUCCGCCUGGGAAGUA
rnacentral:rRNA from 1 species